rnacentral:sRNA from 1 species
UUAGAAAAGAUUUCUUCACUGUAUUAAGACUUGGAAUGAAUAUCUCAAGAACAAUGGAUGAAUAGCUUAUGUCUCUCCCAAUAGUGUUUGCAUAAAACUUGAUAAAAGACUUGAUAAUGAGAACUAGGUCUACAAACAAUAUAUAUAGACCCUAAAAAAGUCCAGGGACUAAUAAUGCAAAUAGGAAAAUCUUCUGGGGCAAAUUUGAUAUUCUGUAAACUCGAAAGCGUUUAGGGUUUUUGCUGGGCCGAAACUGGUGUCGAUCGACACCAAGAGUGUGUCGAUCGACACCAAGAGUGUGUCGAUCGACACUCCUCGCUGAUUCCUGAACCAAAAUCAGCCUUAGCUUUUGCUCCUAAAUGUCUCCUUAUCUUCAUUGUUGUUUCAUUGCAUAGAAUACCUGAAAAGACACUAAAAAGACUCGAGAAAUAACAUAAAGACUCAAAAUCCUAUACCUAAAAACAUGGAUAAAAUCAGUAAAAAUCGGGUUAUAUCAGCUACCAAUGUUUUUUUAAUCUUUUUGGCAUGGAUACAAAUCUUAGUGUUAAACUCUUUUUGUAAAGCCUCAAACUUUUAUUUUAUAUGAUAUUCACAUUCUUAUGAUAGCUUAAUAUACACAAAAGAUCUUU